CCUACGGGGGGCUGCAGUGGGGAAUAUUGGACAAUGGGGGGAACCCUGAUCCAGCCAUGCCGCGUGUGUGAAGAAGGCCCUCGGGUUGUAAAGCACUUUCAGUGAGGAAGAACGCCUGGUGGUUAAUACCCAUCAGGAAAGACAUCACUCACAGAAGAAGCACCGGCUAACUCCGUGCCAGCAGCCGCGGUAAUACGGAGGGUGCGAGCGUUAAUCGGAAUUACUGGGCGUAAAGCGCGCGUAGGUGGCUUGAUAAGCCGGUUGUGAAAGCCCCGGGCUCAACCUGGGAACGGCAUCCGGAACUGUCAAGCUAGAGUGCAGGAGAGGAAGGUAGAAUUCCCGGUGUAGCGGUGAAAUGCAUAGAGAUCGGGAGGAAUACCAGUGGCGAAGGCGGCCUUCUGGACUGACACUGACACUGAGGUGCGAAAGCGUGGGUAGCAAACAGGAUUAGAUACCCGGGUAGUC
rnacentral:rRNA from 1 species